rnacentral:rRNA from 1 species
CCCUACUGCUAUCGGGGUGGGACUAAGACAUGCGAGUUGAGCGUCUCUAAGCCAUGGUAGAGACGCAGCGUACGGCUCAGUAACACGUGGCUAACCUACCCUUAGGACGGGGACAACCCCGGGAAACUGGGACUAAUACCCGAUAGGUGAGGAGGCCUGGAAUGGUUCUUAGUCGAAAAGGCGUUGAAACCAUGCUUUUCGACGUCGCCUAAGGAUGGGGCCGCGUCCGAUCAGGUUGUUGGUGGGGUAACGGCUCACCAAGCCUUUAACCGGUACGGGCCGUGAGAGCGGGAGCCCGGAGAUGGGCGCUGAGACAAGGGCCCAGGCCCUACGGGGCGCAGCAGUCGCGAAAACUCCGCAAUGCGCGAAAGCGUGACGGGGCUACCCCGAGUGCCGUCCGCUGAGGAUGGCUUUUCCCCGGUGUAAUGAGCCGGGGGAAUAAGGAGAGGGCAAGACUGGUGUCAGCCGCCGCGGUAAUACCAGCUCUCCGAGUGGUAGGGAUGAUUAUUGGGCUUAAAGCGUCCGUAGCCGGCUUAGCAAGUCUCCUGUUAAAUUCAGCGACCUAAUCGUUGAGCCGCGGGAGAUACUACUAGGCUAGGAGGCGGGAGAGGCCGACGGUAUUCUCGGGGUAGGGGUGAAAUCCUAUAAUCCCGGGAGGACCACCAGUGGCGAAGGCUGUCGGCUAGAACGCGCUCGACGGUGAGGGACGAAAGCUGGGGGAGCGAACCGGAUUAGAUACCCGGGUAGUCCCAGCCGUAAACGAUGCGGGCUAGGUGUUGGGGUGGCUACGAGCCACUUCAGUGCCGCAGGGAAGCCAUUAAGCCCGCCGCCUGGGGAGUACGGCCGCAAGGCUGAAACUUAAAGGAAUUGGCGGGGGAGCACCACAAGGCGUGAAGCUUGCGGUUC